GGGCUGGCACAGCUUUAAAUUGCUGUCAGUAAAGUUACGCACUUCUUUCUUAGUGCUUAGCCUACUUAAUCUGGGUUAGAAACUCGUUUAGUGCUCAAGUGAUUCCUGAACCAUUCCGAGUCCAUCUCUCUUCCUCGGCUCUGUCUCUACAUGUGCCCAGGGAAGCACAGAUAUAGCAGAAGGCCACUGUGCUGACAGACUUGGUGACAUCAGGAACUCCUGCCUU
rnacentral:lncRNA from 1 species